GGAUAGGCUAACUACGGGCCAGCAGCCGCGGUAAUACGUAGGAUCCGAGCGUUGUCCGGAUUUAUUGGGUUUAAUGGGUGCGUAGGCGGUUUUAUAAGUCAGUGGUGAAAGUUGGCCGCUCAACGGUCAAAUUGCCAUAGAUACUGUAGAACUUGAGUUAAGUUGAGGUGGGCGGAAUGUGUCAUGUAGCGGUGAAAUGCAUAGAGAUGACACAGAACACCGAUUGCGUAGGCAGCUCACUAAGCUUAUACUGACGCUGAGGCACGAAAGUGUGGGGAUCAAACAGGAUUAGAUACCCUGGUAGUCCACACUGUAAACGUUGAUAACUUGCUGUUGGCGAUACAUGGUCAGUGGCUAAGGGAAACCGAUAAGUUAUCCACCUGGGGAGUACGUCCGCAAGGAUGAAACUCAAAGGAAUUGACGGGGGCCCGCACAAGCGGAGGAGCAUGUGGUUUAAUUCGAUGAUACGCGAGGAACCUUACCUGGGCUUAAAUGGGAAUUGACUAUAACAGAAAUGAUAUAUUCCUUCGGGACAAUUUUCAAGGUGCUGCAUGGCUGUCGUCAGCUCGUGCCGUGAGGUGUUGGGUUAAGUCCCGCAACGAGCGCAACCCCUAUUGUUAGUUGCCAACAGGUUAAGCUGGGAACUCUAACAAGACUGCCUGCGCAAGCAGAAGGAAGGAGGGGAUGACGUCAAGUCAUCAUGGCCCUUACGCCCAGGGCUACACACGUGCUACAAUGGUUGGUACAGAGGGCAGCUAGUCAGUAAUGACGUGCGAAUCUCGAAAGCCAAUCUCAGUUCGGAUUGAGGUCUGCAACUCGACCUCAUGAAGUCGGAUUCGCUAGUAAUCGCGUAUCAGCAAUGACGCGGUGAAUACGUUCCCGGGCCUUGUACACACCGCCCGUCAAGCCAUGAAAGUCGGGGGAGCCUAUCGUGACUGGGAAAC
rnacentral:rRNA from 1 species